GGAGAGGUGGUAGAGUGGCUUAUUACACUUCCCUGCUAAGGAAGAGUGGAUAAAUACUUCCACCGUGGGUUCGAACCCACCCUCUCCGCCA
rnacentral:tRNA from 1 species